rnacentral:lncRNA from 1 species
GGUUGGUUGUCUAUAGCCUAACGCUGAAGUCAGUUUGACAGAGCUCAGUUGGCUUUGAGUAGUGCUGAAGUAAGAUUCCGCUAUCCACUAACGAGUCAAUCUCGGAAGAAACAACCGGAAAUGGCUUCAGGUCCAGGACAAGGUGAAGCCGGCUUAGUGACGUAGACUUCUACCGGCCCAUGUACACCAAACUAAAUACUACAGCCAGAAA